UCAGAGUUCUCCACAGGUUGGGUGUUC
rnacentral:sRNA from 1 species